GGGAGAAAGCAGGGGAUCAGUAAUGACCUUGCGCUAAUAGAUGAGCCUAAGUCGGAUUAGCUAGUUGGUGGGGUAAAGGCCUACCAAGGCGACUGGAUCUGUAGCGGGUCUGAGAGGAUGAUCCGCCACACUGGGACUGAGACACGGCCCAGACGUCCUACGGGAGGCAGCAGUGGGGAAUAUUGGACAAUGGGGGGAACCCUGAUCCAGCCAUGCCGCGUGUGUGAAGAAGGCCUUAUGGUUGUAAAGNNNUUUAAGCGAGGAGGAGGGUACUGGUAUUAAU
rnacentral:rRNA from 1 species